rnacentral:rRNA from 1 species
UGGGGAAUAUUGCACAAUGGGGGAAACCCUGAUGCGGCCAUGCCGCGUGUGUGAAGAAGGCCUUCGGGUUGUAAAGCACUUUCAGCGAGGAGGAAAGGUUGAUGCCUAAUACGUAUCAACUGUGACGUUACUCGCAGAAGAAGCACCGGCUAACUCCGUGCCAGCAGCCGCGGUAAUACGGAGGGUGCAAGCGUUAAUCGGAAUUACUGGGCGUAAAGCGCACGCAGGCGGUUGGAUAAGUUAGAUGUGAAAGCCCCGGGCUCAACCUGGGAAUUGCAUUUAAAACUGUCCAGCUAGAGUCUUGUAGAGGGGGGUAGAAUUCCAGGUGUAGCGGUGAAAUGCGUAGAGAUCUGGAGGAAUACCGGUGGCGAAGGCGGCCCCCUGGACAAAGACUGACGCUCAGGUGCGAAAGCGUGGGGAGCAAACA